AAUGCAGCCAAACCCAAAGAUCACAUUCUCACGGUGGUGUGAUUUUUAUAUGGUGUGCAUAAAGAGAGAUGUUCCUUGUCGCCUUUCUCUGAUACCACUGUGUCUUUGAAAGUGAAUUCAAGGAUCAACAAAC